CAACACUUGUGCUGUUGCUGAGACAACCAUCAAAUUGAGAUGGAAUAGUUGCACUACUAAAGUACUGGUGACAUCUGUGAACAACCAUCCUCAUGGGGACACUUCAUGUCUGAGCUCAGCAUACUGAAGCAGCUUUCCCAGAUGAAGACUCC